rnacentral:rRNA from 1 species
GCGAGCGUUAAUCGGAAUUACUGGGCGUAAAGCGCACGCAGGCGGUCUGUUAAGCUAGAUGUGAAAGCCCCGCGCUCAACGUGGGAGGGUCAUUUAGAACUGGCAGACUAGAGUCUUGGAGAGGGGAGUGGAAUUCCAGGGUGUAGCGGUGAAAUGCGUAGAGAUCUGGAGGAACAUCAAUGGCGAAGGCAACUCCCUGGCCAAAGACUGACGCUCAUGUGCGAAAGUGUGGGUAGCGAACAGGAUUAGAUACCCUGGUAGUCCACACCGUAAACGCUGUCUACUAGCUGUUUGUGGAUUUAAUCCGUGAGUAGCGAAGCUAACGCGAUAAGUAGACCGCCUGGGGAGUACGGCCGCAAGGUUAAAACUCAAAUGAAUUGACGGGGGCCCGCACAAGCGGUGGAGCAUGUGGUUUAAUUCGAUGAUACGCGAGGAACCUUACCAGGGUUUAAAUGCAGAACGACAGGGGUGGAAACACCCCCUUCUUCGGACGGACUGCAAGGUGCUGCAUGGUU